AGGUCGUUUCAAAGAGAGCUCACGGGACCAAAACCAGGAGCUCUUUGCCUGGGACCUAAGAUCGAAGUUCUCCACAGGAUGCAAUAGACAUUCCACAGUGCUGUGUUUUCCCGAGGAGAUAGAAGG
rfam:Myotis brandtii contig189382, whole genome shotgun sequence.